rnacentral:rRNA from 1 species
GAGCGGCGGACGGGUGAGUAACGCGUGGGUAACCUGCCCUGUACACACGGAUAACAUACCGAAAGGUAUGCUAAUACGGGAUAACAUAUAAGAGUCGCAUGACUUUUAUAUCAAAGAUUUUUCGGUACAGGAUGGACCCGCGUCUGAUUAGCUUGUUGGCGGGGUAACGGCCCACCAAGGCGACGAUCAGUAGCCGACCUGAGAGGGUGAUCGGCCACAUUGGAACUGAGACACGGUCCAAACUCCUACGGGAGGCAGCAGUGGGGAAUAUUGCACAAUGGGGGGAACCCUGACGCAGCGACGCCGCGUGCGGGACGAAGGCCCUCGGGUCGUAAACCGCUUUCAGCAGGGAUGAGACAAGACGGUACCUGCAGAAGAAGCCCCGGCUAACUACGUGCCAGCAGCCGCGGUAAUACGUAGGGGGCGAGCGUUAUCCGGAUUCAUUGGGCGUAAAGCGCGCGUAGGCGGCCCGGCAGGCAGGGGGUCAAAUGGCGGGGCUCAACCCCGUCCCGCCCCCUGAACCGCCGGGCUCGGGUCCGGUAGGGGAGGGUGGAACACCCGGUGUAGCGGUGGAAUGCGCAGAUAUCGGGUGGAACACCGGUGGCGAAGGCGGCCCUCUGGGCCGAGACCGACGCUGAGGCGCGAAAGCUGGGGGAGCGAACAGGAUUAGAUACCCUGGUAGUCCCAGCCGUAAACGAUGGACGCUAGGUGUGGGGGGACGAUCCCUCCGUGCCGCAGCCAACGCAUUAAGCGUCCCGCCUGGGGAGUACGGCCGCAAGGCUAAAACUCAAAGGAAUUGACGGGGGCCCGCACAAGCAGCGGAGCAUGUGGCUUAAUUCGAAGCAACGCGAAGAACCUUACCUGGUCUUGACAUCCCUUUGACCGUCCUUUAAUCGGGGCUUUCCUUCGGGACAGAGGAGACAGGUGGUGCAUGGUUGUCGUCAGCUCGUGUCGUGAGAUGUUGGGUUAAGUCCCGCAACGAGCGCAACCCCUAUCUUUAGUAGCCAGCAUUUGAGGUGGGCACUCUAGAGAGACUGCCAGGGAUAACCUGGAGGAAGGUGGGGAUGACGUCAAAUCAUCAUGCCCCUUAUGACCAGGGCUACACACGUGCUACAAUGGCGUAAACAAAGGGAAGCGAGCCCGCGAGGGGGAGCAAAUCCCAAAAAUAACGUCUCAGUUCGGAUUGUAGUCUGCAACUCGACUACAUGAAGCUGGAAUCGCUAGUAAUCGCGAAUCAGAAUGUCGCGGUGAAUACGAACCCGGGUCUUGCACACACCGCCCGUCA